rnacentral:rRNA from 1 species
AGGGAAAGAGGGAGGCAGGCCUAACACAUGCAAGUCGAGCGGAUGAAGGGAGCUUGCUACUGGAUUCAGCAGCGGACGGGUAAGUAAUGCCUAGGAAUCUGCCUGGUAGUGGGGGAUAACGUCCGGAAACGGGCGCUAAUACCGCAUACGUCCUGAGGGAGAAAGUGGGGGAUCUUCGGACCUCACGCUAUCAGAUGAGCCUAGGUCGGAUUAGCUAGUUGGUGGGGUAAAGGCCUACCAAGGCGACGAUCCGUAACUGGUCUGAGAGGAUGAUCAGUCACACUGGAACUGAGACACGGUCCAGACUCCUACGGGAGGCAGCAGUGGGGAAUAUUGGACAAUGGGCGAAAGCCUGAUCCAGCCAUGCCGCGUGUGUGAAGAAGGUCUUCGGAUUGUAAAGCACUUUAAGUUGGGAGGAAGGGCAGUAAGUUAAUACCUUGCUGUUUUGACGUUACCAACAGAAUAAGCACCGGCUAACUUCGUG